rnacentral:rRNA from 1 species
UACGAGGGGAGCUAGCGUUAUUCGGAAUUACUGGGCGUAAAGCGCACGUAGGCGGCUUUGUAAGUUAGAGGUGAAAGCCCAGAGCUCAACUCUGGAAUUGCCUUUAAGACUGCAUCGCUUGAAUCCAGGAGAGGUGAGUGGAAUUCCGAGUGUAGAGGUGAAAUUCGUAGAUAUUCGGAAGAACACCAGUGGCGAAGGCGGCUCACUGGAGCUGGUAUUGACGCUGAGGUGCGAAAGCGUGGGGGAGCAAACAGGG